rnacentral:lncRNA from 1 species
GGGCAAGCAACAAUCACAAGUGAUAGUAAGCUAGCUAUACUGAAAAUUCACUGUAAUUUAAAACUUUUAAACUGAACUUUACAUAACUAAAUAACUGAAACAUUUAGUUAUUUACAUGCUUUAUAAUACAUUCAUUUACAUGUCUCUGUACAUCAAAAUGUCUCACAUGAACUCAAAAUGGUAUACCACUAAACACUGGUGUCUGCUAGCUAGGCUGCAGGGCUCUUGCCGCGAUCCUCGGCCACAACGCUCGCACUGGAACCUGUAUGGUUAGUGGUGUGAGAACUUACUAAAAGUUUCCAGUGGGUUCGGCCGCCGACCUCGCCGACUCACCCACUAGGUCUAUUCAGGCAUAUGUAGGCAAAAGAAGUAAACAGAUAGUAACCAACUAUAACAUGUAACUACUACAAUGCCUGUACAAAGCUGAAAGAAGCAAUAUAUGAAAACUGUAAAUAUGCAUGCAUGCUUUACUGAAAUUGCCCAAUCCAUUGGUUAACCCUUUGGUUAACAAUAACUCACUGACACUAUCCCAAUUAUCGGGGAGACGCAACUUGCACCCGACGGGACUGUCAACUGGGGGAGACGCACCCCUGGUCUAGUAAAGAUGACUACUCCCGGGCUCAUCGUUCAAGGAGGAGCGACCUACCUUGAACCAAACGAAUGUGAGUAUGAUCUGAUCCUCCUUUAGAGGAUUCAACAAUGGACAAUGUCACACUUUAACUCUAACUAGCUCUUUAUGCUAGUUUCACAAUUCCAUUUCUCGAUGCUAACCAAAUCUCUAAUUAGAAUGUCACCAAGUUUACUAUUGUUAUAGUCCAUGCAUUCAUAGGGUUCUAUGUCCACAUUCUAUUGUUCAUAUAUUCUCAUGGUUGAUAAGCAUUUGCAUAAUCAAAUAUCAUUUACAUAAUAUCAAUACCCUAUAAUGCAUGAUUACAAUGUAAAUAUGCUCAAUGAAUUAUCAUAGAUAUAAAAGGUGAUUCAAAGAUUUCGGAUAGCACUAUCCACCUGUAAUGGUGUCAACGACUAGAGUCCACGCCUUGAAAUGUGUCAACAACUAGCUCUCGCGACUCGGUGUAAAUAGAACUAGAACGGUCUCUACCGUAAUUAUCACGUCGUCGACCUGUCGGAACGUCAAUUUAGACUUUCGAGCAAGUUUAACUUUCGUCCAUAAAGGAAUAAAAAGGGUUAAACUGGAGUUAUUCCCACAUUUUCUAUAAGUUAGCAUUUCUAUUCUACAUAAAGUGUCAACUCAAAAUUGAUUUCAGCAUUAAGCUGAAAUCUUGCUUCAUGCUGUAUUUUCAGCAUUCUACCUCUUCUUUGAGCAACAAUUAUGAGCAUAGGAUCAUUAGUUCUUAUGCUCAGAACUCUAUUAGAGUAAUUAGUCUAACUCUUAGUCAUGAUUAUCUCAAUUGGCUCUACAAUCAGCUCAUUUCAAUUUUUCCAUCAAGGAUCUCCAAUGCUGAAAUUUUGCAUUUGAGCUUUACAAUUUCAGCACCAGCUCAGGUGCUAUUUUCAGCUUUAAUUACAUAAAAUCAGUCUUUAAAGCAACUAACACUCUAAUCAGUUUGUUCUCAAUUUCAAUUAGCAAUUAAUUAGUUCUCUUCUCUGAGGUUUGCUUUAGCUCCAACAGCAAUACUUUCCAAUGCUGAAAUUUCAGCACUUUGCUUCUAUUAGUGCAGCCACUAUAAGCAUAGAACAAUUAGUUCUUAUGCUUAGAACUCUUCUAGAGUAAUUA